GAUGAACGCUGGCGGCGUGCCUAAUACAUGCAAGUCGAGCGAACGGACGAGAAGCUUGCUUCUCUGAUGUUAGCGGCGGACGGGUGAGUAACACGUGGAUAACCUACCUAUAAGACUGGGAUAACUUCGGGAAACCGGAGCUAAUACCGGAUAAUAUUUUGAACCGCAUGGUUCAAAAGUGAAAGACGGUCUUGCUGUCACUUAUAGAUGGAUCCGCGCUGCAUUAGCUAGUUGGUAAGGUAACGGCUUACCAAGGCAACGAUGCAUAGCCGACCUGAGAGGGGACCGGCCAACCGGAGAAAGGAAACAGGGCCAAGCCCCUGCGGGAGGACGGCAGAGGGAAGCCUUCAGAAAGGGGGGAAGGCCGAACGGAGCACGGCCGGGAGAGUGAUAUAGUUCUUCGUAUGAAAAAACUCUUUAAUAGGGAAAAAAAAAAUGUGAAAGUACCUGACAACAUGUGGAGGAUCCCUAAUAAGAAGCACCCGGCUAACUAGGUC
rnacentral:rRNA from 1 species